AACGAACGCUUGCGGCAUGCUUAAAACAUGCAAGUCGAACGAGAAAGUGGCUUCGGCCAUGAGUAUAGUGGCGCACGGGUGAGUAACACGUAGCUAACGUUCCUCUUCGCUGGGGAUAACCUCGGGAAACCGAGGCUAAUACCGAAUGAUCUGACACGGCCUUUGGACUGUGUCGGUAAAGCCUUCGGGCGCGAGGAGAUCGGGUUGCGUCCCAUUAGCUAGUUGGUAGGGUAAUGGCCUACCAAGGCUACGAUGGGUAGCUGGUCUGAGAGGAUGAUCAGCCACACUGGAACUGAAACACGGUCCAGACUCCCACGGGAGGCAGCAGUUGGGAAUAUUGGACAAUGGGGGAAACCCUGAUCCAGCAAUGCCGCGUGAAUGAUGAAGGCCUUC
rnacentral:rRNA from 1 species